rnacentral:rRNA from 1 species
AUUGAACGCUGGCGGCAUGCUUUACACAUGCAAGUCGAACGGUAACAGGCCUUCGGGUGCUGACGAGUGGCGAACGGGUGAGUAAUGCAUCGGAACGUGCCCAAUCGUGGGGGAUAACGUAGCGAAAGUUACGCUAAUACCGCAUACGCCCUGAGGGGGAAAGUGGGGACCUUCGGGCCUACCGCGAUUGGAUGCACCCAUGUGGGAUUAGCUAGUUGGUGAGGUAACGGCUCACCAAGGCGACGAUCUCUAGCUGGUCUGAGAGGAUGACCAGCCACACUGGAACUGAGACACGGUCCAGACUCCUACGGGAGGCAGCAGUGGGGAAUAUUGCACAAUGGGGGGAAACCCUGAUGCAGCCAUGCCGCGUGUGUGAAGAAGGCC